rnacentral:rRNA from 1 species
CCUACGGGAGGCUGCAGUGGGGAAUAUUGGACAAUGGGCGAAAGCCUGAUCCAGCCAUGCCGCGUGUGUGAAGAAGGCCUUCGGGUCGUAAAGCACUUUCAGUGGGGAAGAAAGCCUUGGGGCUAAUACCCUCGAGGAAGGACAUCACCCACAGAAGAAGCACCGGCUAACUCCGUGCCAGCAGCCGCGGUAAUACGGAGGGUGCGAGCGUUAAUCGGAAUUACUGGGCGUAAAGCGCGCGUAGGCGGUCUGAUAAGCCGGUUGUGAAAGCCCCGGGCUCAACCUGGGAACGGCAUCCGGAACUGUCAGGCUAGAGUGCAGGAGAGGAAGGUAGAAUUCCCGGUGUAGCGGUGAAAUGCGUAGAGAUCGGGAGGAAUACCAGUGGCGAAGGCGGCCUUCUGGACUGACACUGACGCUGAGGUGCGAAAGCGUGGGUAGCAAACAGGAUUAGCUACCCGAGUAGUC